GGGGUUGUGGCUCAGUGGUAGAGUGCUUGCCUAGCAUGUGUGAGGCACUGGGUUCAAUCCCCAGCACCA
rnacentral:tRNA from 1 species